rnacentral:rRNA from 1 species
AUAGUUUGAUGCUGGCUCAGAACGAACGCUGGCGGCGUGCUUAAUACAUGCAAGUCGAACGAGAAAAUCCGGCUUCGGCUGGAUGAGUAAAGUGGCGAACGGGUGAGUAACACGUGGGCAAUCUGCCCUCAAACCUGGGAUAAUCCUCCGAAAGGGGGUCUAAUACCGGAUAACACCUCGGGAUGGCAUCUUCCUGAGGUCAAAGGCGGGGCAACCUGCCGUUUGAGGAUGAGCCCGCGCCCCAUUAGCUUGUUGGUAGGGUAACGGCCUACCAAGGCUCCGAUGGGUAGCCGGCCUGAGAGGGCGAUCGGCCACACUGGGACUGAGAUACGGCCCAGACUCCUACGGGAGGCAGCAGUAGGGAAUAUUGCGCAAUGGACGAAAGUCUGACGCAGCAACGCCGCGUGGGUGAUGAAGCAUCUUGGUGUGUAAAACCCUGUCAGUGGGGAAGAAACGUAUUGGGAGUAACUGCCCUUUACCUGACGGUACCCACAGAGGAAGUCCCGGCUAACUCCGUGCCAGCAGCCGCGGUAAUACGGGGGGGACAAGCGUUGUUCGGAUUCACUGGGCGUAAAGGGCGCGUAGGCGGACUUUCAAGUCGGGUGUGAAAUCUGGCGGCUCAACUGCCAGCCUGCACUCGAUACUGUUGGUCUUGAGUGCAUGAGAGGAAAGCGGAAUUCCAGGUGUAGCGGUGAAAUGCGUAGAUAUCUGGAAGAACACCAGUAGCGAAGGCGGCUUUCUGGCGUGUUACUGACGCUGAAGCGCGAAGGCUAGGGGAGCAAAC